rnacentral:lncRNA from 1 species
GGAAGAUGUGAAGGAAUAAAUAUAGAUGACAUUGCAGAAGAUAAUAGCAGCAGCAACUGGGGGCAGAAGCAGAGAGUUAUGAUCUGGAAUCUUUUGAAGAAAUGGUUGCUUGCUACAGGCAGGAAAAAUGGAGUAGGUUGGGUGAACAAGAUGUGCUCCU